rnacentral:rRNA from 1 species
GAUGAACGCUGGCGGCGUGCCUAAUACAUGCAAGUCGAGCGAACGGACGAGAAGCUUGCUUCUCUGAUGUUAGCGGCGGACGGGUGGGUAACACGUGGAUAACCUACCUAUAAGACUGGGAUAACUUCGGGAAACCGGAGCUAAUACCGGAUGAUAUUUUGAACCGCAUGGUUCAAAAGUGAAAGACGGUCUUGCUGUCACUUAUAGAUGGAUCCGCGCUGCAUUAGCUAGUUGGUAAGGUAACGGCUUACCAAGGCAACGAUGCAUAGCCGACCUGAGAGGGUGAUCGGCCACACUGGAACUGAGACACGGUCCAGACUCCUACGGGAGGCAGCAGUAGGGAAUCUUCCGCAAUGGGCGAAAGCCUGACGGAGCAACGCCGCGUGAGUGAUGAAGGUCUUCGGAUCGUAAAACUCUGUUAUUAGGGAAGAACAUAUGUGUAAGUAACUGUGAACAUCUUGACGGUACCUAAUCAGAAAGCCACGGCUAACUACGUG